GACGAACCGUGCGAACGUUAUUCGGAAUCACUGGGCUUAAAGCGCGUGUAGGCGGGCCGGCACGUCGGUCGUUGAAAUCCCCCGGCUCAACCGGGGAAGCGGCGCCGAUACGACCGGCCUCGAGGGACGUAGGGGGGGGCUGGAACUUCCGGUGGAGCGGUGAAAUGCGUAGAUAUCUGGAGGAACACCGGUGGCGAAGGCGACGUCCUGGACCGGCAUUGACGCUGAGGCGCGAAAGCCAGGGGAGCAAACGGG
rnacentral:rRNA from 1 species